AGUGAAAGUUUGCAUUGUAGUUUU
rnacentral:sRNA from 1 species